AUUGAACGCUGGCGGUAUGCCUAACACAUGCAAGUCGAACGGCAGCACGGCAGUAGCAAUACUGUGGGUGGCGAGUGGCGGACGGGUGAGGAAUACGUCGGAAUCUGCCCAGUCGUGGGGGAUAACUAGCCGAAAGGUUAGCUAAUACCGCAUACGACCGAGAGGUGAAAGCGGGGGACGGCAAGGCCUCGCGCGAUUGGAUGAGCCGACGUCGGAGUAGCUAGUUGGGGGGGUAAAGGCCUACCAAGGCGACGAUCCGUAGCUGGUCUGAGAGGAUGAUCAGCCACACUGGAACUGAGACACGGUCCAGACUCCUACGGGAGGCAGCAGUGGGGAAUAUUGGACAAUGGCGCAAGCCUGAUCCAGCAAUGCCGCGUGUGUGAAGAAGGCCUUCGGGUUGUAAAGCACUUUUAUCAGGAACGAAAAGCGUUGGACUAAUACUCUGACGUGCUGACGGUACCUGAGGAAUAAGCACCGGCUAACUUCGUGCCAGCCGCCGCGGUAAGAC
rnacentral:rRNA from 1 species